rnacentral:rRNA from 1 species
AACGAACGCUGGCGGCAUGCCUAACACAUGCCAGUCGAACGAGACCUUCGGGUCUAGUGGCGCACGGGUGCGUAACGGGUGGGAACAUGCCCUUAGGUUUGGAAGAACUCCCCGAAUGGGGUGCGAAUACCGGAUAAUGUCUCCGGUCCAAAGAUUUAUCGCCUUUGGAUGGGCCGGCGUUGGAUUAGCUAGUUGGUAGGGUAAAAGCCUACCAAGGCGAAGAUCCAUAGCUGGUCAGAGAGGAUGAUCAGCCACACUGGGACUGAGACACGGCCCAGACUCCUACGGGAGGCAGCAGUGGGGAAUAUUGGACAAUGGGCGAAUGCCUGAUCCAGCAAUGCCGCGUGAGUGAUGAAGGCCUUAGGGUUGUAAAACUCUGUUACCCGGGAUGAUAAUGACAGUACCGGGAGAAUAAGCCACGGCUAACUCCGUG